GAUGAACGCUAGCUACAGGCUUAACACAUGCAAGUCGAGGGGUAACGAGAGGAAAGCUUGCUUUCCUUGUCGACGACCGGCGCACGGGUGAGUAACGCGUAUCCAACCCGCCCCCAACUAGGGAAUAACCUUGCGAAAGUAAGACUAAUACCCUAUAAUUUCCUCAGAUGUCAUCUGACGAGGAAUAAAGAUUUAUCGGUUGUGGAUGGGGAUGCGCUCUGAUUAGCUUGGUGGCGGGGUAACGGCCCACCAAGGCAACGAUCAGUAGGGGGUUUGGCGGGAAGGUACCCCACAUUGGAAGUGAUACCCGGCCGAAACUCCUACGGGAGGCAGCAGUGAGGAAUAUUGGUCAAGGGGCGGAAGCCUGAACCAGCGAAGUGGCGUGCAGGAUGACGGCCCUAUGGGUUGUAAACUGCUUUUAUACAGGAAUAAAGUUAGCCACGUGUGGUUAUUUGGAGGUACUGUAUGAAUAAGGACCGGCUAAUUCCGUGCCAGCCGCCGCGGUAA
rnacentral:rRNA from 1 species